CAAAACCUAUUUAUAAUGGCGGCAUCUAGUCUUAUUAGAGGAACCUGUUUUAUAAUCGAUAAUCCACGAUAAUUUUCACUUAAACUUAAAAUUUAUAUACCGCCAUCAAAAGAAUUUAUUUUAAUAAUUCUUUUCCUAAUAAUAAAUAAAAAGUUAGGUCAAGGUGUAGUCCACGUUUAAGAAAAAAAUGGGUUACAUUAAAUUUUAUUUAAGAAUUAAAUUAUAAAAAUAGUUUUUGAAAAAGGAUUUAAAAACAAUAUUUAAGUAAUUUUUAAAUAUG
rnacentral:rRNA from 1 species